ACGGAAGGCAGCAGUGGGGAAUAUUGCACAAUGGGGGAAACCCUGAUGCAGCAACGCCGCGUGAGUGAAGAAGUAUUUCGGUAUGUAAAGCUCUAUCAGCAGGGAAGAUAAUGACGGUACCUGACUAAGAAGCUCCGGCUAAAUACGUGCCAGCAGCCGCGGUAAUACGUAUGGAGCAAGCGUUAUCCGGAUUUACUGGGUGUAAAGGGUGCGUAGGCGGCAGAGCAAGUCAGAUGUGAAAGACCGGGGCUCAACCCCGGGGCUGCAUUUGAAACUGUUUUGCUGGAGUCCGGGAGAGGCAGGCGGAAUUCCUAGUGUAGCGGUGAAAUGCGUAGAUAUUAGGAGGAACACCAGUGGCGAAGGCGGCCUGCUGGACCGGAACUGACGCUGAGGCACGAAAGCGUGGGGAGCAAACAGGAUUAGAUACCCUGGUA
rnacentral:rRNA from 1 species